AGUAGAAUGUUCUCGUUUAUUCUCAAGAGGACGCGUCCAGUAAUGUCAUGCUAUAAUUAAUUACUUAUUUAUAUUUAUUGUAAUAAGUUUAUUUUUUUAGAUAAUACUGAAAUUUGCAAACAACUGACUUAUUGUUGGUUUCAUUAAAAAAAUAACUUAGUGCAAAAAAGAGGAAUAUUUAAAAAACUUACGUAUAAAAAUUUUUCAUGAUAAAGCUGAUAAUAAUCGCUGCAGUGUCGUCUUAACCAUUUUUGUACAUCCAGUACAUUCCACAAAUAGACUGGUCUGGGUCUUGCUGUUUUAUUCUGUAAAAUAAAACAAUUAAUGUUUAAAUUUUAUUAUAUUCAAAAAAUUAAGGUAUAAAAAUGAUAAUAAAUAACAAGUAAUAUAAUUGUUAACUACCUUGGAUUUGUUACAGGGACUUACGACCUCUUCUACCAUGAUGAUUGUUUACGAAAAUACUCUAUUUAUUAUUUUUUUUACUUAUUAUCGAUAUCACACAUAGCAAUAAUAUUGUUACGAGAAAUUAUUAAUGAAGAAUCUUGACAAAUGUAGCAUUAAAAUAAAUGACUAAAGUAAACAACAACCUCACAUGUCAUCAUGUCAAA